rnacentral:lncRNA from 1 species
UAAAAUCCAAUUCAAUUCUCCCCUUUUUCAUUAUAAAAAUUUAAAUACAUAAUUUUUUAUAUAUAAUUUUUAAAUAGUGUAGAUUAUAUGUAUUAAAGAUAAAUAUUGAUUUUAUAAUAUUGAUCACUUAGAUAUAAAUUAUACAAUAAAUAAGAAAAAAAGAGAUUGAUAGAGUUUAAGUUAAUAUUUAUUUUAAUAAAUUUAG